rnacentral:siRNA from 1 species
UAUUCACUCGACCUCCCACUCGA